GAGUCAGUCACCCUUUGGCCAGACAGGCGGUUCCCGGGCGCGGAGGAUGGAAACCUGGCGGUAACCUCUGCAGGUCGUGCCACUCGGUGUGCGCAAGGUCCCCAGAGGCAUCUUUUCAUUUUUAGGGGGCACUUUCCACGAAUUCAUUUGAGUUACACAGCAGUCCUGGGCAGUGGGGAGUGGUGAGCUCCAUUGUAUACACUUGGAAGCAGCCCAGAAAGCUUCUAGCACAGUGCUUUGUGCACAGUAAACACUCCAGCGGCUGUUGACCAAUGAAUGAAUGAAGAUUGUAGGCUCAAAUAUUCAAGUUAUCAAAGUGCAAAGAAUGAGGGGUUGUUUGCACUGGACUUCAAAAAUAAAUAGCCUGGACCUGUACUGUCUUACACAACAGCUAUGAGCUACUGGUAUGUGGCUAGUCCAAACUGAAAUGCCCUUUAAGA
rnacentral:antisense_RNA from 1 species